rnacentral:lncRNA from 1 species
AAAUUCUAUAUGGUUGGGACCAAAUUUUGUUAAUGUGUAGCAAAAUUUUCUCCAAAGGAUUGAAUUUAUAAGCUUUCAUUAUUGUCUAUAAAAUGGAGUUGUGCAUUUCUCUUGUUCUGUGUACACACAUCUUUAUUGUGAUUGAGUUGUUGCCUAUGUUUUGGUAGUGUAUUGUAAUUGAGGAUGCAGUGGCUGGAGUUCAAGAAUGGUGAAGCUACAAGAAAGUUGAAUUCAGGAUGCAGUUGCAACAGUUCUGGAAUGGUGAAGCUACAAGAAAGUUGAAUACAAGAAACUUGUGCUUGUAGGAAACUUAGUUGUGUAUAGGAAAAACAUAUGUACAGUAGGAAACUUCAAUUGUCUCUUGUUUUUGCAUGAGUUGGAAAUAAAUACAAGAAGAGUUGGUUCUGAUAUACACUUGUGCUUUUACACUUGGUUGUAAUCUGAUAUGAACAAACUUGUACAAAAUACAAAGUGAUGCAAAAUCAGAUCUGAACAAAGAUGUUCCUAUAUACAAACUUGCUACUCUGAUAUGAACAAACAUGUCCCAAAUUACCAACUUCAUCUGAACUGAACAAACAUGUUCCAAACAGCAAAAUACAUCUGAUCUGAACAAACUUGGUUCUACUACUUUGUACACAAAAUUUGUACAUCUUUACAGAUUGAUGAUUAGUUGUAUGAAACAGUAACAAUCAAUAGUCCUUACAUAUUAUCUGCAAAACAAAACAAGCAAUAGGCUGAUCAAGUUAAAAAAAAAAAACAUUCCAAGUUCCUACAACAACAAUAUCUUAAUCAUCAAGCAUACAAAAGGCUGAUCUGGAAGAAAAAAAAAACAGAAAACACUAGAAAAACCAGUUGCAGUUGGAAUAGUAACUUCAUGAUCUAGCAAACCAAAAACAGCAUACCAGAUUUCAUAAGAGCAAGUAAUAGGCUGAUCUGGAAAGAAAAAAAAAAAACAGUUGCAGUUGCAACAGUAACUUCAUCAUCAAGCAAACCAAAACAGCAAUAGCAGAUUUUAUAAUAGCAAGGACUAUUGGCUGAUCUGGUAAAAAUAAAAAAAAAUAAAAUAUUCCAGUUGCAGUAUCAUAGCAGAUAUGCAAGAAAGCAAGCAAUAGGCUAAUCAGUUAAAAAAAAAUUCCAGUUCUAACAAUAAAUUAAACAUGUUUCAACCAUAUUACUAUCAAUACCAGAUCUGCAAAACAAAGAUAAG